rnacentral:rRNA from 1 species
UGGGGGAUAUUGCACAAUGGGCGAAAGCCUGAUGCAGCGACGCCGCGUGGGGGAUGAAGGCCUUCGGGUUGUAAACUUCUUUUGCUCUGAACAAGGCGCACCAUGGGGUGUGUUGAGUGUAGGGGUUGAUUAGCGCCGGCUAACUACGUGCCAGCAGCCGCGGUAAUACGUAGGGCGCGAGCGUUGUCCGGAAUUAUUGGGCGUAAAGGGCUUGUAGGUGGCUGGUUGCGUCUGUCGUGAAAGCUCAUGGCUUAACUGUGGGUUUGCGGUGGGUACGGGCUGGCUUGAGUGCAGUAGGGGAGGCUGGAAUUCCUGGUGUAGCGGUGGAAUGCGCAGAUAUCAGGAGGAAUAUCGGUGGCGAAGGCGGGUCUCUGGGCUGUUACUGACACUGAGGAGCGAAAGCAUGGGGAGCGAACAGG